CUCAUCUAUUCAUCUAUUUUUGGCCUAAGUGCCUUUGGACACUUCUUCGGAAAAGCACAUGAACUCUUCGGAGUCUCCUGUUCCACUUGGUAAAUUUCCUAUAGCCACGCACUGAAAGUCCCUGCUGCCCUCCUUCCUCUGAGCUUGUGGGGCCCACAGAUCCCCUGCUCCACUUCCUGCUUCAUUUCAGCUGAUGGAUGACACUCCCUCGUUCUAAUACCAUCUGAAUGCCUGAGCAAUUACAUCUUACAACCUCAUGAAAAACACAGCAGCUUGUCACGAUGAAUGAUGUUACCGUGAAUAAUGCAGUUUUGAGUUCAAACUCCUUCUUAUUCCAAGAAUGAGUAAAUAUCCCUAUUCCCUCCCCUCCCCAUUGCAUUUGGGUUUGACAUGACAUGAAUCAUUGUGGUUUUACUCCUGGGUAGAAUUGUUUUUCUGUAUUGCAUUGCCA
rnacentral:lncRNA from 1 species